UUGUGGAGGAGGACGCCGAAGGUGGGGCUAAUGACUGGGGUGAAGUCGUAACAAGGUAGCCGUACCGGAAGGUGCGGCUGGAUCACCUCCUAACAGGGAGACAACAAAAUGUAAAUAUUAAUUUUGUCACCUUAGGUCGAUCGGUAUCUCAGAUUCUUAAAUUUUAAGAAUUUCAGUUUCUAAGUUUUUUCUAGGUCACACCCAUCACUUUUUCCUGGGCCAUUAGCUCAGGUGGUUAGAGCGCACCCCUGAUAAGGGUGAGGUCCCUGGUUCAAGUCCAGGAUGGCCCAUAUCUCUAUGUUGGGGGUAUAGCUCAGUUGGUAGAGCGCCUGCUUUGCAAGCAGGAUGUCAGCGGUUCGAGUCCGCUUACCUCCACUGAAUACCGCCUCUUACAUAUGGUUAACGAGGAGAAUUGUUUUGAGUAGUGUACCUUUUGCUCUGAGCGAAUCUAGCUUCCUAUUUUUCAUUCUACAAAAUAAGAUGCUGGACUCAUUGAAUUUUUAAUUCAUUGUUUUCAGAGAACCUUGAAAACUGCAUAGAUUAUUUUUGAAGACAAUAAGCAUCUUAAAGAUGCAGAUUUAUUAUUUUUGCUAAUGCAUUAAAUAACAAUUCUAUUAAGCUGAUGCAUCAAUUAUUGAAGUUAUUGGUCAAGCUACAA
rnacentral:misc_RNA from 1 species